UACGGAGGGUGCAAGCGUUAUCCGGAUUUACUGGGUUUAAAAGGGUGUGUAGGCGGACUGUUAAGUCCGUGGUGAAAUCUCCGGGCUCAACCCGGAAACUGCCAUGGAUACUAAUGGUCUUGAAUAUUGUGGAGGUGGGCGGAAUGUGUCAUGUAGCGGUGAAAUGCUUAGAGAUGACACAGAACACCGAUUGCGAAGGCAGCCCACUACGCAACUAUUGACGCUGAGGCACGAAAGCGUGGGGAUCAAACAGG
rnacentral:rRNA from 1 species